rnacentral:rRNA from 1 species
UACGGAGGGUGCGAGCGUUGUCCGGAAUCACUGGGCGUAAAGGGCGCGUAGGCGGCCUGUUAAGUCGAACGUGAAAUCCCCGGGCUCAACCCGGGAACUGCGUCCGAUACUGGCAGGCUUGAAUCCGGGAGAGGGAUGCGGAAUUCCAGGUGUAGCGGUGAAAUGCGUAGAUAUCUGGAGGAACACCGGUGGCGAAGGCGGUAUCCUGGACCGGCAUUGACGCUGAGGCGCGAAAGCCAGGGGAGCAAACAGG